AUGGGCGCCCGACACACCCUGCUGCGACUGGUUCGCCGCCGCCUGCGCCCGCUCCACGGGCCGCGUCGUGGGCUUCUCCGUCUUCCAGGACCCCAACUUCACGGGCACAAUCCCCAGCGCCAUAGCCGGUCUCACCCACCUGGAAGACCUUUUCCUACACCACCCCCGGGGGUAUCGGGCCCCAUACCGUCGGCGAUAGGCAAGCUCACCAACCUCUCCAGGCUCGAAAUCUCAUGGACGGCCGUGUCGGGCCCCGUGCCGUCCUCCUUGGGCAAGCUCAAGAAGCUCACCCAGCUCGACCUCUCCUUCAACUCGCUCAGCGGCGCCAUCCCGGUGUCGCUGGGCGCCAUCCCCGGCAUCACCCUCAGCCGCAACCGCCUCAGCGGCGCCAUCCCCCAGAUGUUCCUCAGCGAGUCCGCCGGCCAGGACGUCUACCUCGACGUGUCGCACAACAACCUCACCGGCCCCAUCCCGGCCUCGUUCGCUGCAGUGAACUUCACGCACCUCGACCUCUCGCGCAACGCCCUGACCGGCGACGCGUCCGGCCUCUUCGGGCGCGGGAAGGAGCUGCAGUACAUCGACCUGCCCCGCAACGCCUUUGAUUUCUACCUGUCAGGCGUGGUGGUGCUCCCGGAGAAGCUCUUCCACCUGGACCUGAGCCACAAUGCCAUCCAUGGCAGCAUCCCGGUGCAGGUCGCGAACGUGGCCAACCUGCUGGCCUUCAACGUCAGCUACAACAGGCUCUGCGGCCCCGUGCCGGCCGGCGGGAACAUGGCGAGGUUUGAUCUCUACAGCUUCCUGCACAACAAGUGCCUCUGCGGUGCUCCCCUUCCUCCGUGCAAGAAAUAG
rnacentral:rRNA from 1 species